rnacentral:lncRNA from 1 species
CAUGGCCAAAUCAAAUGCUCAAACAAAUCAAACGAACGGAAAACUGCCACAUACCUUACUUGGAACUGGUAUUUGCAUAGUUACAAAAAGCAAGAACAAAAUUCUUAAUCUAUUGUUGUUGGUGAAUUCUUACACUUUAUAACCGACUUAACUUCAAUGUAGAUUUUAGACCAUGUCAUGAAUAGAAUAGAGAAAAAUACGGCAGACCGUCAACAAUGCUCCAAAAAAUUUUAAGUACAUUUCUUUUCAAUAAUGCGGAUAAAAUAGUAGUUUUAUUAAAAAUGAGAAAAUUGAAAGCACAAAUAAACCAAGAUAAUAUUAUUUAAAUCUUACGUAAAACAACAAAUUAACCAUUUCCAUUUGACCAACGACAAUAUUUAUACUGUUAGCUCUAUAAUAAUAAUGUGUAUUAAGUGCCAUAAAAAGAUGGAU